AGAGGAUUAGCUCAUUUGGGAGAGUAUCUUUCUUAUAAGCAUAAUGUCGGGGGAUUCUAACUCCUCAUCCUCUACCA
rnacentral:tRNA from 1 species